CCUACGGGGGGCAGCAGUGGGGAAUAUUGCACAAUGGGGGAAACCCUGAUGCAGCGACGCCGCGUGAAGGAAGAAGUAUUUCGGUAUGUAAACUUCUAUCAGCAGGGAAGAAAAUGACGGUACCUGACUAAGAAGCCCCGGCUAACUACGUGCCAGCAGCCGCGGUAAUACGUAGGGGGCAAGCGUUAUCCGGAUUUACUGGGUGUAAAGGGAGCGUAGGCGGUGCAGCAAGUCAGAAGUGAAAGCCCGGGGCUCAACUCCGGGACUGCUUUUGAAACUGUUGAACUAGAUUGCAGGAGAGGUAAGUGGAAUUCCUAGUGUAGCGGUGAAAUGCGUAGAUAUUAGGAGGAACACCAGUGGCGAAGGCGGCUUACUGGACUGUAAAUGACGCUGAGGCUCGAAAGCGUGGGGAGCAAACAGGAUUAGAUACCC
rnacentral:rRNA from 1 species